AUACGUAGGGGACGAGCGUUGUCCGGAAUUACUGGGCGUAAAGGGCGCGCAGGCGGAUAUUUAAGUCAGCUGUAAAAGGCAUGAGCUCAACUCAUGUAUGCGGUUGAAACUGGGUAUCUAGAGUGCUGGAGAGGUAGGCGGAAUUCCCGGUGUAGCGAUGAAAUGCGUAGAUAUCGGGAAGAACACCAGUGGCGAAGGCGGCUUACUGGCCAGCAACUGACGCUGAGGCGCGAAAGCCAGGGGAGCGAACGGGAUUAGAUACCCCGGUAGUCCUGGCCGUAAACGAUGAAUGCUAGGCGUGGGUGUCGAGAGGCAUCCGUGCCGGAGUUAACGCGAUAAGCAUUCCGCCUGGGGAGUACGAUCGCAAGAUUGAAACUCAAAUGAAUUGACGGG
rnacentral:rRNA from 1 species